UUUUUAAUUUUUGUCCAUAAUGUAUUUCCAUACUUUAAAUAGUUAUAAGUAAGAGCGUUUGUAUAUAUUUAUUACACUAAGGCUUUUCCAUAGUGUGUCCCAUUAAGUCAAGCAUGCUAUUCAUGCAUGGGUGAACCCAGGUAUUUGAUUGGCUACUCUGGUGAGAAGCUCACUAUUGUAGUAAUUUUUUUAGACAUUCAAAAAAGAUCCUUAGAAUGAGCAGUGUAUUUUGUAUACCAGACCUUAUGGACUUUAUAUGGACAAUUUAAAUAUACUAAACAGUUAUGACUGACUGAGAAAUUAAGAAUCAAGAAGAUCAGGUUCAUAUACCAUAUAUUUGAACUACACAUAAC